GUCAUUAUAGUUUAACAAAAAUAUUAGAAUGUGAGCCUAAAAAUAGAAGUUUAAUUCUUCUUAAUGACC
rnacentral:tRNA from 1 species